rnacentral:rRNA from 1 species
UACGGAGGGGGCUAGCGUUGUUCGGAAUUACUGGGCGUAAAGCGCACGUAGGCGGACUGUUAAGUCGGGGGUGAAAUCCUGGGGCUCAACCUCAGAAUUGCCUCCGAUACUGGCAGUCUCGAGUGCGGGAGAGGUGAGUGGAAUUCCCAGUGUAGAGGUGAAAUUCGUAGAUAUCAGGAGGAACACCGGCGGCGAAGGCGGCUUCCUGGCCCAUUACUGACGUUCAGGUACGAAAGCGUGGGGAGCAAACAGG